UACCCUGAAGUGUCUCGCUGGAGAACCAAAAAGCCGCCCAUCGAUGAAAGAAGUCGUGGAGACUCUGGAACACCUUGAAGCACUGAAAGGAAGAUCGAGGGAACGCAGAGAAAACCCUGAACGGGAUCACAACCAUGGACAGACUCAUACCCCGAGACGCUCCCCGAUACAUCCGAGGUGGGAUGGUGAAAGUCAUGUUGCCCAGGCAGG
rnacentral:misc_RNA from 1 species